AUGGCAUAACCGAUUUUUAUAACGAAUGUGAAAUUAUGUUCUCAGACGGACCUUGUUCAUUUUAAUCGUUCUAAAAUUUGCUCUUUGUCAAAAUAUGUCGCCCGUUUAUAACGUUGUGAGGAAAGGCUACAUAUCUGAAUGGCAUUGUUUUUGUUAAAAUUCGAAGCCGGUCCUGAACAUAUGUUUCUAUUGACUUGAAUAAUUUGUG
rnacentral:lncRNA from 1 species